AAUCUCGAGGGCAACUCUCUGACGUGGUCGUUCAUUGAUGGCCGUGCACAUCGGACGACGCAAAAACUGUGAUCUAAUUUCGCGUUUCCAGUUCGCCCGACAGACAACGAAUGCUCCUUUUACGGUGUCAGUCCCGCGCUAGCCACUUGGAACGCGUUCGAAAGUUCGCGCUAAAAGAAGAAUGAACAAAGAUGGCCGUCCGAAGUCAUACGCACCGCGCGACGACCGGUUCGAUAGUUUGUUUAUUCACGACGAUGGAACGACCACUUGAGCCUUCGUCGGAUUCCGCGGAUGACGUUCCGCGUCUUGGAAGAAAUUUACGCUACCGAGUAGUAUCGUGGAACGUCGCGAUUUGGAAAUAGAUUUUGGGAGAACAGCCGUCCUUCGAAGCGAUUUAGGGGUGGCCUUUCGCUCACUCGAUCGCUCGUCCUGACAAAAUCUACCUGCCGAGGCCGCAGAGGUGCCAGAAAAGCACCGACGGUGCCCUACUCACCCAUGCCAGAUCACGCGUACGUGAGCUCGUGGAGUUACGGAAAGUCGACAAAGGCAAACUGACGCAUGCCCUCUUUCUCGAUUCUCCGAAGCUGCCCGAAGUAAUUUCGGACCGCCUCGUGGGAGUCGAGAGAGGAAGGCUCACAUUUGCUUUCUCGCUCUUGGACAACUGAAAUUCGACCUCACGACGACGGCAUACGAUUCAAAGUCUCGACUGGCCAGAUAUCACAUCUGCUACAUCUGGCAACGUAUAACCAUUACUGCUGGCUACUGCCAGCCUCUCACAGCCUCUGCUGGCUUCUGCUAACCUCUGCCAGCAUGUACGGGCUUCUGAGUGCCUUUGCUGGACCCAGCUAACCACUGCUGACCACACCUGAUACUUCCGACAACGUAUAACGAUUACUACUGGUUACUGCCAGCCUCUCCCAGCCUCUGUUGGCCUCUCCUGACCUCCGCUUAUAUUUCUGACAACGUAUAACAAUUACAACUGACUUCUGCCAACCUCCGUUGGCCUCUGCUGACCAUUGCUGAUCUCUACAUGCCUUUACUGGUGGCUAACUUGAGUUAGCAGUCCUCCGCUGGCCUCUGCUGACCGCUGCUGACCACUUCUGAUACUUCUGACAACGUAUAACGAUUACUACGGGCUACUGACAACGUCUCCUAGCCUCUACGGGCUUCUGCUGGUCUCUGCUGACCACCGCUUAUAUUUCUGACAGCGUAUAACGAUUACUAAUGACUUCUGCCUGCCUCCGCUGGCCUCUACUGGCUGCUGCUGACCACUCCUGUUACUUC